UUGCAGGUGAACUGUUUAGCUCAGGUGACUGUUGGUAGUGCAGACUGUAGUUAGAGUUUUGCAGGUGAUGUGAACUGUUUAGCUCAGGUGACUGUUGGUAGUGCAGACUGUAGUUAGAGUUUUGCAGGUGAUGUGAACUGUUUAGCUCAGGUGACUGUUGGUAGUGCAGACUGUAGUUAGAGUUUUGCAGGUGAUGUGAACUGUUUAGCUCAGGUGACUGUUGGUAGUGCAGACUGUAGUUAGAGUUUUGCAGGUGAUGUGAACUGUUUAGCUCAGGUGACUGUUGGUAGUGCAGACUGUAGUUAGAGUUUUGCAGGUGAUGUGAACUGUUUAGCUCAGGUGACUGUUGGUAGUGCAGACUGUAGUUAGAGUUUUGCAGGUGAUGUGAACUGUUUAGCUCAGGUGACUGUUGGUAGUGCAGACUGUAGUUAGAGUUUUGCAGGUGAUGUGAACUGUUUAGCUCAGGUGACUGUUGGUAGUGCAGACUGUAGUUAGAGUUUUGCAGGUGAACUGUUUAGCUCAGGUGACUGUUGGUAGUGCAGACUGUAGUUAGAGUUUUGCAGGUGAUGUUAACUGUUUAGCUCAGGUGACUGUUGGUAGUGCAGACUGUAGUUAGAGUUUUGCAGGUGAACUGUUUAGCUCAGGUGACUGUUGGUAGUGCAGACUGUAGUUAGAGUUUUGCAGGUGAUGUUAACUGUUUAGCUCAGGUGACUGUUGGUAGUGCAGACUGUAGUUAGAGUUUUGCAGGUGAUGUUAACUGUUUAGCUCAGGUGACUGUUGGUAGUGCAGACUGUAGUUAGAGUUUUG